GCCGCCUGCAGCGGAGCGCGCGAACUUAACCACUCGGCCACGGGGCGAGCCCCCCAAUAUAUCCUAUUACUUGCCAUUUUUAUUUGACAGCUUUAACCAGGCUGUUUCCGGAUUCUGUGAUCAACUGUAGUCAACUAUCUGCGAUCAGCACUAUGAAGAGAAAGAAGCCCACACGGAGAAAGUCUUCCUGGCCAAUUCCAUAAGGAAAAGUGCACCUGUUUGGAAACCAGGAGACGUGGAUUCUGGCCGAGGUCUGCAAUUACCUCUCUGGGUGACCUUGGCACUUAAUGAAAUCUGAAAGCAUCUCAGUUAUUCAUCGUUUGCCUGUCUCUUGCUGUCUCCCCCAUGAGAAGAGAAGUUGGAUGAACAGAACAGGAUGAAGGCAGGGGUCUUAAUCUGCCUUGGACAUCGCUGAAUAGCCUGCUCCAAGAAUUGCACAUGGAAGAGUAGGCGCUCAGUAGUUGUUUGUUGAAUGAAUAAACGGAUGAAGUCGUGAUCAGCUGGAGGCAGCCUGUGCUUGUUGGCCUGUCUCCUCUCCUCUCCUCCCCAUCUGCUGGCCCAGCCUUCCAGUCAAAUCCAGAGCCCACGCACACACUCCUCACUAUUUCUCGCUCCUGUCUUGGUAAAAGCUUCAUACGCUUGUGCCGUGUGUGGGUCAGGGCUCUUGGUUGCAAGCAGCAGAAUUUAGUCCUGCCAGUGAGAUUAGAGACUGGAAGUGUGAAAGCCUGUCGGGUAGCUCAGGCCCAUCUGUCAGACUCGGAAGUCACACAGCCAGUAACAUGGCCCCAAAAUCACACCAUAGAACUAGUCCCUCGGUGACAUCUCUGGUGCCUCCACUGGACACCCCAGCUCACACUGUAAAAAGCACAGGACACACUGAAGAUGCCCCCAGAACACUGCAAUUGCCCCCUACGGAAACUGACUAUAGCUCCUUCCACUGGAACCACCCAUUGGUGAGUGGCUAAAAGGAAGAACAAAUGUCCACUGAACUCUCUGGGCAACUGGCCACAAAGGUAGACACUGUGACCCAUAGCCCCUUCUCUUACCACACUAGAAGGCCGCUCUGGACCGUCCCCCAAUUACCCCAGUUUCCCCUAUCUUCUGGGGCUGGAGCAGCCUACGUCAUGUAAACACAGCCCUGUGGGCCCCCAAGCUUUUCACCUCUUUCCCUCAAAGCAAGAGGUGGUGGCUGAGUCGAAGUUGGAGCAGUCAACCUCAGGGUCUAGGUGGUGAUGCCUCAAGAGUCUUCUAGACUCAACUCAGAGCCCGCCCUUGAGAGAGGACUGGGCGGAGGAAAGGCCCCCAGGUGUUGAAGGGACAAGGAGACUCCUUCCUCCCUUGCUUCCUUUCACAAACAUUCAUGGAAUGUCUCCUAUGCGUGAAGCAACGUCCUAGAAGCUGGUGUGAGAGAACAGGCGUGGUCCCACUGCCGUGGGCGAACUGAGACCAUCCACCCUAGAGCUUCCUCUGGCCUGUGGCCAGAAGUGCUGACCGUUGACGACCCUGGAACCCUCAGCCGGCGGCACACAGGAAUCAGAGGAGGAAUGUUCCAGACUUAGUUCCAGUUGCCCAGGCUGGGGAUGCCCUGUCUCCCUCCCCUCCCCGAGUGUGCUUCCCAGGACCACCUCCCACAUAAACUGCUUGCACUAAAAUCCUUGUCGGGGGGCGGGGGGGGGGGGGUCCGCUUCUGGGAAACCCAACCAAAGCCACGUAGAACGUUCAAAAGGGAACAUAUGACAACAAUAUAGAGAGUAAGGGGGGUGAGUGAGGGGCUCUGUUGGAGAGGGCUGUCCGGGAGGGAGUGGAAGCCGCCCCUCUGGUAAA